rnacentral:ncRNA from 1 species
AUGUCGGGACAGGAUGAAGCCAGGGGAAACUCUGGUGGAGGUCCGUAGCGAUUCUGACGCGCAAAUUGAUCAUCUGACCUGAGUGU